GGACCGCCAUUUUGCCGUACGGCAUUGACUGUCCAGACACUAGGGCGCCGCAAGUGAAGCUCUUUUCAACCAGCCAACCGCCGCCGAGUCGCGUGCCGAGAGGACUGAGCCACCUUUCUUAGUAGGUGAGGGGCGGCGAAACAAGGCAAUUAAGAAACUGGGUCCUCCAAGGCUGCGCCUGGUGCACCGAAGGGCAGGAGUCACUUAUGAGGGAAGUAAAACCUUUUCCUUCCGAUGGGCUGUUGACAAGCUUUCCUGAACUGCCUUCCUACCUGUCAAGUUCCAGAUUCCACCGCUUCAUCGACGGUGUCUGCCUCUUCCCUUACACGGGCUGCUCGCGCCUUUGCUGCCUCUAAAUAAUGGUGACUACGUCUCCCGACCGUCUCCCAAACGUGAAAUCAAAACACAUGCACACAAAUCAACGUGCUAAACAUUGUGUUAUUAUUGCUAUUGUUGAUUUGCUUUUCAAGCAUCACCACAGAACUAAUGACCAAUCAAAUAGGUGGAACUUAGGCGGUUCUCCGUGCAUUUCUGGAGAAGUCACUUAGGCGCAGGCAGUGAUGACCUAGAAGCCGUGCUUUGCCAGGCAGGGCCUAGGGACUGGGCCUGUGUGACAGGGACCUUGAGGAGAAUCUGCAAAUUGCCAUUGUGAGGGCUGCAAGACGAAAUGAGCCUCGGAAAAUACCUCGGGUCUCGUCUCCUUUAUCUUUGGGGGAGCUGAGGAAAGAACAAAGAGAGAAGAAACUUUGGUUUUGGUUUUCUUGUUUUAGAAUUUUUCUCUCCCCCCUCCCUUUUAUUUAUUGAUUUUAAACAGAGAGAUUUUGUUGAUUUUUCCACGUGUCUUGACUGGGGAUGAAACCCUCAACCCUGGGGUAUGGGGAUCACGCUUCAACCAGCUGAGCUACCAGGCCAGAGCCUACUUUGACAUCCGCCUCGCCUACAUCCCACCUCAAUCAGUUUUAGGGAGGCUGGAGGGACUCCUGGAGGCAAGGCUGGCUUGAAAGGACUGCAGAAAUCCCCACACCUCCAAGCCCUCAGAGACCGGGAGCUUCAAACCCUCCCUUCCAUUUAAAGAAUUCCACACCACAUCUUUCCAAGUAUCUUUAAAAAAAAAAGUGCAGUUCUCAGCCAUGAAAUCUGGAAAUAAUCUCACCUUGUCUUAAAUAAACAGAUAUGUAGCCCAUUUCUUUCCCCAAGGAACCAUAAACAUCACCUUGUCUACUCAUUAAAAAUGUAUUUUUUAUUCUUAAAAAAAGUGUGUACAAUCUUCAUGCUAUUUGAUCAGUUCUGCUGUCAUAAUAAUUGUAAUGAUAACCCUGAAGAAAUUUUUUUUAAACUGGAGUUUUGGUCACAA